AAGAUGACACAGCUGACAGUCAGUUCCAUUUAAAGCACUUAGCCUGGCUCUGCCAACAUCUUACAGUGCUGUAAAGCUGGAAUUAAUGCUACUGAAUUCAAGAGAGGAUAAUUCCUCUUUAUCUUCAUUUUUAAGCUUUUACAGUAAGAGAAGGGAAAGCUGCAGUUACCUUAGCACCUCAAGAUUUGCUUUAUUCUUUAAUACUCUUUUACCUAUUUAAAUUUCAGAUGGUAAAGACAGAGAGGCAGUUUUCUCACCUCCUCCUGUGAGGAGAAAUCAACAAUCAACAUCUUGGUUCAUAAACUUGUGCCAGCAUUUUGUUCUGUUCUUCAGCAGAAGUAGCUCUACUGUGCUGAUCAGAUUAGUGAAAUGAAGAAACAGGAUAUCCACCCAGCUUUUAUCUGAGUAGCCCUUCAGGAAUGAACAGUUUCAGCUUUGAUUUUUGUUUUUUAAGAGUUAGUUAAACAUAUUUGUAAUACGAAUUUUAUUUAUACUUGCUAAAAAUGUAUUUUAAAAAUCAACAACUUUAAUGUGAAUAACUGAUUAAAAAGUAAUGUAUUGGC